AGAACCACACCACGCACAACCAGUCGCGCAAGUGGCACAGAAAUGGCAUCAAGAAACCCAGGUCCCAGAGAUAUGAAUCUCUCAAAGGGAUGUGACUUUUGGCUCUUCAGGGAUGACGUAAAAGCUUGUUUUCUGCACGGCUCAGUCAAGGUUCAGUCCUUCCACCUGCCACCAGCAGUUUGGCUGUCUGUUGUGUGCGUAAGUUAAGAUGGCAAGAUUCUGAUGCUUGUGCUUUCUGCCAGUGAAGUGCUUUUAACUGUAAAAUAACAGAUAUGUUUCAGUGGGGCAGUAACAGAUAGUUCUCCAGAUGGACUGUAUCCAUAAAAAGGCGUGUUAGUGAACCAUUAGCUGACAAAAACUAGGGAGCACCUCUUCACCAUGCUGGUAUUCUUUUCCUUUAAUAUAAAAAGAAAAGGCCUAAGGAAAAUGGUAGUGGUCUUUGCCUGAAGAUUACAUAUACCUGUGCUCGCCUGAUAAGAUUUGUUUGUGAUGCUUCAAAUCCAGAAUGUAUUUUGUAAAUGAAAUUUCGAUGUUUUGGCAAGGCAAUUUGUCUUGUUAACAAUUUUGUUUAGUUUGCCCUGUUCUUUAUAUUUGAUUUUUAAUGUUAUGGAAAACAGCUAAUUUAAAGGAUGGGU